CCCCUAGAUGUUCUGGGCCGCACGCGCGCUACACUGAACAGUUCAACAAGUCUUAACCUUGGCCGAUAGGUCUGGGUAAUCUUUGAACGCUGUUCGUGAUUGGGAUAGACCUUUGCAAUUAUGGGUCUUCAACGAGGAAUUCCUAGUAAACGCAAGUCAUCAGCUUGCAUUGAUUACGUCCCUGCCCUUUGUACACACCGCCCGUCGCACCUACCGAUUGGACGUUUUAGUGAGGAUUUUGGACUGAGCCAAUGGUGGUUCACACCACUGUUGUGCAUGGAAAGAUCUCCAAACUUGAGCGUUUAGAGGAAGUAAAAGUCGUAACA
rnacentral:rRNA from 1 species